rfam:Erinaceus europaeus unplaced genomic scaffold scaffold00425, whole genome shotgun sequence
UUGGGCUACGGGGACAUGUGCCCCAAGACGUGGUCGGGCAUGCUGGUGGGGGCGUUGUGUGCGCUGGCCGGUGUGCUCACCAUCGCCAUGCCUGUGCCCGUCAUUGUCAACAAU